CGGGUUUCGGUCCGGCCUCCGCCGGCGACCGGCCGGCACGGUGGAGUAACACGUAUGCAACCUGGCCCGCGGACGGGGACAACCCGGGGAAACCCGGACUAAUACCCGGCGGGGCCUGGAGGGGGCAUCCCCUCCCGGCUGAAGGAGGCGACUCCGCCGCGGGAUGGGCAUGCGGCGCAUUAGCUUGUUGGCGGGGCAACGGCCCACCAAGGCGACGAUGCGUAGGGGUUCUGAGAGGAAGGUCCCCCACACUGGAACUGAGACACGGUCCAGACUCCUACGGGAGGCAGCAG
rnacentral:rRNA from 1 species